CUAAUCAAGCUCGGAGAUAGCUGGUUCUCCUCGAAAGCUAUUUAGGUAGCGCCUCAUGUAUCACUGUAGGGGGUAGAGCACUGUUUCGGCUAGGGGGUCAUCCCGACUUACCAAACCGAUGCAAACUCCGAAUACCUACAAGUGCCGAGCAUGGGAGACACACGGCGGGUGCUAACGUCCGUCGUGAAAAGGGAAACAACCCAGACCGUCAGCUAAGGUCCCAAAGUUAUGGUUAAGUGGGAAACGAUGUGGGAAGGCUUAGACAGCUAGGAGGUUGGCUUAGAAGCAGCCACCCUUUAAAGAAAGCGUAAUAG
rnacentral:rRNA from 1 species